rnacentral:lncRNA from 1 species
GUAAUUGAACAUAAGCAAUUCCAAAUGCUUUUCUAGGCAAGACAUGCCAGCGAUUAGAAAAUGAGACAGCUUAAAGACAGAGGUACAUUUAACAGAGAAAACACGCCUGGAAGCUCGGCCGGCCCCGCCCAUGCUGGCUCAGUUCCUGCCCCUGGAGGGAAGGGGCCGAGGGGCUUCCCGUCCCAGGGAACUCCCACCACAGGAGUCUGCAGACGGGCUGGCCUGGCAGUCAGUCCCAGAACACUGACCAUCCCCUUAGGGAGGCACCACGCCCUGGGGAGCACAGUUCCAGGCCAGGGCCAUGGGUCUUGCCCUGAAGACCCUCCCUCAGGGACCACGCGCCCUGACCCUCAUUGCCUCACCAUAUUAUAAAACACUAAAACCGCUUAAGUUCUUCCCCACAGAGUUGGGGAACUAAUUGUAAACAGAAUACACGUCUACAUAUCAGCCCUGAGACAGCUGGCCCCGCUGCACACGCAGCCUGCUGGCCCCAGCAAGACACGGUCAGAGCUGGUAAGUGCUCUACAGCAUUCAGAAAUCUGACCACAGCGUACACACAGCUCACAAGUCAGUGCAAACAGAAGCUAAUGACAUCCUCCAAGAAAAUUCCAUACAGUUAUGACAAUGGAAAACCUGUUAUACAUUGUAACGAUACAUCAUUAGCAAUGUUUAAUACAUCUUACUAUAAACACUGAAUUUCUAAGUACAUGAUACUCCUAGCAGCUUAAUCCAGAAAACAACGAUGUGAAUCCCUCCAAUACUGUAAACACAAGACCAAGUGCUGCCCAUGAGAGUGCCCCGUGCCACCCGCGGGCACCACCGGCCUCUGAGGACCCCUGAGCCACACACUGCUGCUGCUUCAGGGAAGCAUCCAUGUCACAGGACUUCCCCAGGGGCCUGAUUUCUGCCACAGCUGCACCAACUACCCAGAGAUAUGCUGUCCGCCCACAGAUCCAGACGCUCCCAUGCCAUGGUUGCUGGGGACGGGCGCUGCACACACGGCUGCUGUGGGGGGGGGCGGGGGGCGGGGGCGCAGUGAUUAUUUUGACAGCAACUCUGAAGAAACAGGUGCUGACUCUCGCGUGGGGUUCCUCUCACCAGAACGACCACACACAGGAGGAGGGAUGCCUGGGCCCACCACUUCUCUCCUCUGAAGGGAAAAAUUCAGACCGCCAGAUGGGAAAUGGCUGAAAUCACCGCACUUCUAUUGGGUGGAAGGGUUCAAACAUCGGGGACUCAGAUAACUGUCACUAAGGGAAACUGUCUGGGUUCCAAACUCUGCUCAGCAUCCUCACAGGGAGAAGGCACCCCCACCACAAGGGAAGCUCCGGAGCCCUCCUCCCUGUCGCCUGUGCACAGACAUAGCCCACUACGGGGGCAGCCACGGCACCUGUCAGGGGAAGCUGCUCUACACCCCCCUUUUUUU